GAUGAACGCUGGCGGCGUGCCUAACACAUGCAAGUCGAACGAAGCACUGUCGAAUGAGGAUUCGUCUGAAUUUGACUUUGACUUAGUGGCGGACGGGUGAGUAAUGCGUGAGCAACCUGCCUUUCAGAGGGGGACAACAGUUGGAAACGACUGCUAAUACCGCAUGAUGUGCCGAGGGGGCAUCCCUUUGGCACCAAAGAUUUAUCGCUGUGGGAUGGGCUCAUGUCUGAUUAGUUAGUUGGUGGGGUAACGGCCUACCAAGUCGACGAUCAGUAGCCGGACUGAGAGGUUGACCGGCACAUUGGGACUGAGAUACGGCCCAGACUCCUACGGGAGGCAGCAGUGGGGAAUAUUGGGCAAUGGACGCAAGUCUGACCCAGCAACGCCNCGUGAAGGAAGAAGGCUUUUGGGUGUAAAACUUCUUUUAAGAGGGAACAGCAGAAGAGGGUACCUCUUGAAUAAG
rnacentral:rRNA from 1 species